AUUCCGGUUGAUCCUGCCGGAGGCCAUUGCUAUCGGAGUCCGAUUUAGCCAUGCUAGUCGCACGGGUUCAGACCCGUGGCAUAUAGCUCAGUAACACGUGGCCAAACUACCCUACAGACCGCGAUAACCUCGGGAAACUGAGGCCAAUAGCGGAUACAGCUCUCACGCUGGAGUGCCGAGAGCUGGAAACGUUCCGGCGCUGUAGGAUGUGGCUGCGGCCGAUUAGGUAGAUGGUGGGGUAACGGCCCACCAUGCCCAUAAUCGGUACAGGUUGUGAGAGCAAGAGCCUGGAGACGGUAUCUGAGACAAGAUACCGGGCCCUACGGGGCGCAGCAGGCGCGAAACCUUUACACUGCACGACAGUGCGAUAGGGGGACUCCGAGUGCGAGGGCAUAUAGCCCUCGCUUUUCUGCACCGUAAGGAGGUACAGGAACAAGUGCUGGGCAAGACCGGUGCCAGCCGCCGCGGUAAUACCGGCAGCACGAGUGAUGGCCGAUCUUAUUGGGCCUAAAGCGUCCGUAGCUUGCUGUGUAAGUCCGUUGGGAAAUCGGCCAGCUCAACUGGCCGGCGUCCAGCGGAAACUACACGGCUUGGGACCGAGAGACUCGACGGGUACGUCCGGGGUAGGAGUGAAAUCCUGUAAUCCUGGACGGACCACCAAUGGCGAAAGCACGUCGAGAGACCGGAUCCGACAGUGAGGGACGAAAGCCAGGGUCUCGAACCGGAUUAGAUACCCGGGUAGUCCUGGCUGUAAACAAUGCUCGCUAGGUAUGUCACGCACCAUGAGUGCGUGAUGUGCCGAAGUGAAGACGAUAAGCGAGCCGCCUGGGAAGUACGUCCGCAAGGAUGAAACUUAAAGGAAUUGGCGGGGGAGCACCACAACCGGAGGAGCCUGCGGUUUAAUUGGACUCAACGCCGGACAUCUCACCGGUCCCGACAGUAGUAACGACGGUCAGGUUGACGACCU
rnacentral:rRNA from 1 species